rnacentral:lncRNA from 1 species
AAAAUUUUGAAUUUUAAAAUUUAAAAUUUGAGAUUUGAAAAAUAAAUUAAAAUUUUCAAAUUUAAAUUUUAAAAUUUAAAUUUGAAUUGUUGAGAUUUAAAAAUUUAAAUAUGAAUUUAAAAUUUCAAAUUUUAAAUUUAAUGUUAAAUUUAUAUUUUGAAUCUAAAAUAAAAAAAAUUGAAGUUUAAGUCCAAAAUCAGAAUCAAUUUUGGAGAAGUAGCUUUUUUCUCCUUCUAGUUCUAGAGCCUUUAAAAUAGGUUUU